rnacentral:rRNA from 1 species
GACGAACGCUGGCGGCGUGCUUAACACAUGCAAGUCGAACGAAGUGGCGAACGGGUGAGUAACGCGUAAUCAACCUGCCCUUAAGAGGGGGACAACAGUUGGAAACGACUGCUAAUCCCGCAUACUGAAGGAGGGGCUUGCGUCUGAUUAGCUGGUUGGAGGGGUAACGGCCCACCAAGGCGAGGAUCAGUAGCCGGUCUGAGAGGAGGAGCGGCCAAAGUGGGACUGAGACACGGUCCAGACUCCUACGUGAGGCAGCAGUGGGGAAUCGUCCGCAAUGGACGAAAGUCUGACGGAGCAACGCCGCGUGAGUGAUGACGGCCUUCGGGUUGUAAAGCUCUGUUAAUCGGGACGCGGUACCGGAAUAGAAAGCCACGGCUAACUACGUGCCAGCAGCCGCGGUAAUUC